rnacentral:rRNA from 1 species
AAAACGCUUUUUAGAGUAUCAAUUGGAGGGCAAGUCUGGUGCCAGCAGCCGCGGUAAUUCCAGCUCCAAUAGCGUAUAUUAAAAUUGUUGCAGUUAAAAAGCUCGUAGUUGAAUUUCUGCUGCAUCGUCGCAUCUCUUGCUGAGUGCUUCGUUUCGGCUUAUUUCGGAUUGAUUUUUUCUUUCCGGAUGAUUACUUUGAGAAAAUUAGAGUGCUCAAAGCAGGCUUUUGCCUUGAAUAGUUUAGCAUGGAAUAAUAAAGUAGGACUUUGGUUCUAUUUUGUUGGUUUUAGGUACCAAAGUAAUGGUUAAUAGGAACAGUUGGGGGCAUUCGUAUUUAACUGUCAGAGGUGAAAUUCUUAGAUUUGUUAAAGACGAACUACUGCGAAAGCAUUUGCCAAGGAUGUUUUCAUUAAUCAAGAACGAAAGUUAGGGGAUCGAAGACGAUCAGAUACCGUCGUAGUCCUACC